ACCUGGGUGGCUUAGUUGGUCAAGCAUCUGACUUUGGCUCAGGUCAUGAUCUCACGGUUUGUGGGCUGAAGCUCCCAGUUCGUGGGUUCAAGCCCCUCAUCGGGCU
rnacentral:tRNA from 1 species